rnacentral:misc_RNA from 1 species
AAAAAUAGCAAGAGAGAGACAUCAGCUCUGCUUGUUGUCCGCUCGGCUGAGUAGAUACUUGUUACGAAACGCUGUGGAUCAAGUUCUCUAUCUGGGGUCGAAAGAAACCUGGAGAAGAUGGUUAGCAACGGUGCUGAAGAUGUGCAGAUUUGUGGAAGUGGUGAGGCUGAAUGUCCUGAGACCACAGUGGAGAUAAAGAUAAAGAUGUUGGACUCACAGACGUAUACAUUGCGAGUGGAUAAAUGUGUGCCAGUCCCUGCAUUGAAGGAACAAAUUGCGACAGUUACUGGUGUCUUGACAGAACAACAACGGCUCAUAUGCCGUGGAAAAGUGUUGAAGGAUGACCAGCUGCUUUCCGCUUACCAUGUGGAAGACGGUCACACUUUGCAUCUGGUUGUGAGGCAACCUUCAUCAGACAGUACCCCUGAUCCCCAAGCAACUGCUUCUGCAUCAAAUGCUGGGUACAGUCAAGGAAACAGAGUGAGUCCUGAUAUGGUAGUUGGAACCUACAGCUCAUCUGAUCAUGGAGAUGGAAUUUUCCCUGAUUUGAAUCGUAUUGUAACAGCUGUGCUUGGAUCUUUUGGAAUUGCAAGCGCUGGCGGUGGGAAUGAGGGGAUUGAUCUCCAUGGUUUUGGUCCGGCAAGUCUAGGAAAUAUUAGAGAUUCUGGUAGAU